rnacentral:lncRNA from 1 species
GGCAACAUUAUAAAUUCUUUUAUAAUUUUAGAAAUAAACCUCUCAACAACAUAUGUAAUUAUCACAAGAAGCUACACCAAUAGAAUGUCCUUUGAAUCGCAACGUUAUUAGGCAAUAAAAAAUAAGUUGAAGAGAACCCAAGUGAAGAUUUCGAAUUUAAAAGGACAUCCUUGCAUUGUUUCCGUUGAAUAUAAGUAUCAUUUAAAUUCUCUGUGCACUCAUAGAGGCUGGGCAUGCAUGAGGUCAUUCCUUUCUCCUUGAGAAGUCUAAUGACAAUACCACAUGGCAUUGAUGAAAUAUCGAAGAAAGAAAUCAACAAAAAUUAAUCUU